GAUGAACGCUGGCGGCGUGCUUAACACAUGCAAGUCGAACGGAAAGGCCCAAGCUUGCUUGGGUACUCGAGUGGCGAACGGGUGAGUAACACGUGGGUGAUCUGCCCUGCACUUCGGGAUAAGCCUGGGAAACUGGGUCUAAUACCGGAUAGGACCACAUUUUGGAUGGUGUGGUGGAAAGUUUUUCGGUGUGGGGUGAGCUCGCGGCCUAUCAGCUUGUUGGUGGGGUAAUGGCCUACCAAGGCGUCGACGGGUAGCCGGCCUGAGAGGGUGUACGGCCACAUUGGGACUGAGAUACGGCCCAGACUCCUACGGGAGGCAGCAGUGGGGAAUAUUGCACAAUGGGCGCAAGCCUGAUGCAGCGACGCCGCGUGGGGGAUGACGGCCUUCGGGUUGUAAACUCCUUUCGCUAGGGACGAAGCGUUUUUGUGACGGUACCUGGAGAAGAAGCACCGGCUAACUACGUG
rnacentral:rRNA from 1 species